rnacentral:lncRNA from 1 species
GUCCAAUGGAAAAGUCGAAGCCCAAAAAAGAUGAACAGUGCAUUAUAGAAACAUAGAAGCUGGUUGCAAAAGUUGACGACAAGAUCUAUUUUAUAACUUGAGUAUGGCCUAAUACUAUUAACCUGAAAUAAAUAUAUUUAUAGCAAUUCCCUUGAUACGAAAGAUCUACAUGUUGCCUUGGGCUUUUUUUUUUUCUUUUUUUUUUUUGCUCUUUGGUUGGGUUUUUGUCUCAAUGACAAUUCAAUUUUCAUUCUUAUCAUAGAUAUAACUGCAUGUUAAAAUAAGAAUAUGAAGUGUGAUAGACAAUCAGACACAUUCUUUCCAGGGACCAACAGGCGUUAUCAAGCUAUAGGUCCCCGUAUGGCCUUCGACCAUUAGCAAAAU